GUAGCAAUACGAAAGUAUCCUAGUGGCGAACGGUGAGUAAACGCGUUGGUGACCUACCCCAAAGUGUGGGAUAACAGUUCGAAAGAACUGCUAAUACCGCAUGUGGUUAUCGGAUUUAGAAACUGAUAACUAAAGGAGCAAUUCGCUUUGGAGGGACCUGCGUCCCAUCAGCUAGUUGGUGAGGUAAAUGGCUCACCAAGGCUACGACGGGUAGGGGACCUGAGAGGGUGACCCCCCCACAAUGGAACUGAAACACGGUCCAUACACCUACGGGUGGCAGCAGUAGGGAAUAUUGCACAAUGGGCGAAAGCCUGAUGCAGCAACGCCGCGUGUGCGAUGAAGGCCCUCGGGUCGUAAAGCACUUUUCUGAGAGAUGAGCAAGGACAGUAUCUCAGGAAUAAGUCUCGGUCUAACUACGUGCCAGCAGCCGCGGUAAAACGUAGGAGGC
rnacentral:rRNA from 1 species